ACAUCUAAAUCUGUUCUUGUUACAUGUUAGGUGUUAGGGAUACCUCCACGUCUUUUUGAUCCCGGCGUCUUGUAGGGCCAGCCUUCUCCUUCCCCAGGCCACUAGGUAUUUCUGCUUCAUGACCAGACAUUGUCUCGUUGUUUUAUAAACACGGCUGCUGCUCAGAAGUUCUCCACACCUUUGUUUCCUGGAAGAGGAAAUGACACUUCCUGGAGCGGACUACAUGUGGGCGGUGAGGUUCUACUCAUUGUGUGAAACACACUCAGACUUUUGGUUGUGUACUUCAGUGUCUGCCCUAAAGUUUCCUGGAAUGAUGCUCAGGACAGACUGUGGUGUGGUUUCACCUUAGCCGGAAGAGGUAUGAUCCCUUCUUUGGAUCCAGAGCGAAGAAAUAAACGACGUCAAGAAUCCUAUCACUGGAGAGAUCACAGUCCAUCUUCCUCCAACUUGGAAUCUGCAAAAGGGAGCCUGAGACACCACCUCGCUUUCAUUUUGGACCCAGCUGGCGAUUAUCUUCUACUUCCCGAAGAGACCACUUCCUGCACCUUCCAUAACGGAUUUAGGAUAGAAACUAAAGAGACGAUGUCCUCAUUAUGAGCCUCGAUUCAGAGAAAGAAGAAAGUCACCACUCAGAGGGACACUAGUUUGGAUAAUUUCAUGAGGAGUAUGGCUGCCCAGCUGUCACUUUGCCAAAGGCCUGGCAGAGAUUGGUUUUAAAGUGGUCUUCCUGAAUCUCCAGAAGAAUCAGCAUGGUGUUAGACGACCAUGAUCUUCCCUACCCAGAGGCCUGAGAAACAUGUUGAGUCUUGCAUAAAUUUAUUCAGAAAAUGUCAAAAUUAUUCUAGAAGCUGUAGGUGAAAGUGACAGAGGCAAGAUGAAAAACAGGUAUUUUAAAUUCACAGCUUGGACAAGGGAAAGGGAGAUUUCUUUUUUCCCCUAGUCCAUCUAACUUUAUGCAUUCAGACGGGGAAAAAGGAUAAUUAGAAGCUAGAAAUUGUUAUUGCAUGAAGGGAGCUGUAAACACGGAAGCCAAAAUUGUCUCUCCCCCAGGGGAGCAAAUAAACCUUGAUUCCUACUCAUAAUAAGAUUGACACCAACUCUUCCAAAUCAGGAAGGGGAAGGGUCAAUACAUAUUUUAUCCGGAGCUUAAAAGGCAGCAGUGUUCAUAAUGUGGUAUUUUUUUUAAAGGUCCUAUGUUGUUAUGUAUGCCUGGUGAUGUUAAGCUAGUUUUUAGAUCUUAGACAAGGUAUGGGAGUAGGUAUUAUGUCUUCAUUUAAGAAAGAGAUGAUGAGUGACCCAAUUUUAGGUGGCUAAUAUUUUGUGUGCAUUUAUGACACGUGCCAUGGCAUGGUGUUGAAUACUUUAAUUAUUUCAUUUGACUGUGACAAUGAAUCCCCCAAGAUGGGGAAUAUCCCCUUCACUUGACAGAUGUGACAUCUGAGGCUUAGCGAUCAAACAAAUGACUUGCCAGGCUGUCACAAUGAGUGGUGGGGUGUGGCUUGACCCCCGGUCUGUUGACCCCAGAUUCAGGACCUUUGCCAUUAUAUACACGGAAACAAGACAAGAGCUGAAAUGACAGCCUGCCUCUUGGAACAGUAAAGUCAGUUGUGUGUGUUUAUGGAUAUCCCAACUAACAAGGUAUUCUAAGAAGAGUUAACAGAUGUAUACAUGGCCGAUUUAUAAAUCAUAAUGUGUCAAAAUGCCCACUUAACAAUGUAGCCAUAGAAAAUAAAGCAAAAUUUAAUCUUUAAUGAUUAGAUUUUAAUGAUUAGAACAUCUAGAGGUCAUUUUUUUCAACUAUUAUUAUAUUAUCGAAGAAUGAAUUUGAACAUGAUAGUGUCUCCCCUCCAUCACCCCCAACGCCAUUUUUUUAAGGUAGUGGAGUUUUAAAAACACAAUGUUGCUGUCUUGUUUUACUUGUGGCUUCUGAAAUUUUAUAGCACUGAUUUUUUUUUUUAAGGUAUCAAGGACAACAGAGAGAAUCUAAUUGUAACAUAAGUAUCUGAAUCAGAUAGCGAAUGGUAACAUUUUCAGUGUUGUUUUAGCAUAGAUAUACCUUAACACAAUAAAGUUUCAUUGUGUUUGUAAGUCAAACCACUUUAUUCUCUCAAUCCCUUUUGUGAAAAAGCAAAUACCACACCCAUCCCUCCCUACUCCCUUCUUCAACCUGUAUCCCUCAGACACACACCAUUUAUGGGUUUAUUUUGACAUUAACAUGCACACACGCACGCACACACGCAGAAUUUAUGUUAGACUUCGUAGGUUCCUUCCAGCUUUAAAGUUCUGAAGAUAAAUGCCAACUAAAAGAAAGUUCUAAUUGUCAGUGAUGGGAAAUGUAAUAUAAUUUGCUUCUAGUACUCAUUGCUAUUUAAAUAUAUUCACUGGUAUAAAAAAAUUCAAAUACUCUCAAGGAAGUCAUACACGGGUAGCACAGGAAACACAGAAAAUCAUUACUUUCUUCUUUGUGUACAUUUUCCUGCCUACACCACAGUCUCAACCAUUCACUCUGAAGUACAAAUUUUGUGGAACAAAAAUACAGGUAAUUUGCUUUUUCUCAGUAGUCAGAACGGAGGCCUACUGAGGCUAAAUUGAUCAUAUUUGACCGUUGUGUGAGUCAGAGUGACUCUGUUUCACGGUCACACUUUGUCCCCCAACUCAAGCAUCUCACCCCUGAAAUGUUUGUUGUUAGCCCCAAAUGGCAACCCUUGAGACGGGUUAUUUCUUUAAACUUAUCUUGGCUCAUAAAGUUGUAAGCAGAU